UUUACUCUAAACACCAAACAUCUACAAAUAGGAUGAACCAAUAAGGCUGCAGGUUAAACAGAGCCACAUGCACCUAGGGAUGCUCCGGCAUGCUUUGGCCAAAAAGUAGAAGAUAUUAGGUCCUGUAACACAUUUCCCCAAAGGAAGUAACAAUUGUUAUGAUCAGGAACGUUCCUGCUUAUAUUUCUAGCUGACCAGCGCUGUUUUCUUGCAAGAUACAGCAGUUCAUCCAAUUUCUCCCAGUUAUGUUUUUUUUUUCCCUCUCACUCUCCCCACCCUUUAACAGUCACCACCAAGCAUUCUCUGACCACUGAGCACACUCAGUCACCACUGGGCUGUUUUUUGAACCCUCCUUUCCCCAUUAGCAUUUGCUCCCGGAAAUACUUCUGUAAACCUUAGGGAUUCCCUGGACCUCCCCAGUACUCCUUCUUGGGCAUGGACUCUGUGGUUUUGGCUCUACAAGGAUCCAUAUCCAGCCAUUUAACAUGCUGUUAGCCAUUUACAGUAAAACCAACUAAACUCCUGUUUUGCCUUGUCCAUUGGUUUUCCAGAUGUCCCGGAUGCUAAAGUUGCUGUUCCAGUCGAAGCUCCAACUGAAGGUAAGAUUGGUAUUAAUGCUUCUGCUGUUCACAAUGGCAAAGGAGGUAAUUUAGGGCGGUGUUGCCACACUGAGGUAUUUUGACACAAAUAUUCCUUUUACUCCUAAGAAGUUCCUGCUCUUCCUAUCUUCAUUCCCCUGCCGGAAGAGAAGAAGAAGGAAAAAGUGGUCAAAAAGACAAUUGUAAAGAAAGUCACCAAAAAGGAGGUUCCUAAACCUCCAGAGGAGGUAGCACCUCCUAAAGUUCCUGUCAAGAAACCUCAAGAGGUCAAAGUAGUCGCUGUGCCUAAGAAGAAAGAAGAAGCUUAUGAGAAAAAGGAGGAAAUCUAUGAAGUUCACAGAGAAGCAUAUGAAGAAUGGGAAGAGGACUAUGGAGAGAAAUAUGAGUAUUACGAAAGAGAAGAAGGUUAUGAUGAAGAGGAAGAGGAAUGGCAAUAUGGAGAAAGAGAAGUGACUUAUGAGGAAAAACAAUAUCAUGAAGAAGGUAUAUUUCCUUUUAAAAACCAAAAACACCUUGCCCUGUACUUGGUUUUCUUAUCGUUCAUUGAUUUGGAGAACCCCAGCAAGAUUAGAAAAGUUGCUGUAUCAUCUGCUGAACCUUUUCAACUUUCUGGCUGAAAAAAUUUUGUUUGGAUAUUAGUUUUGCACACAUUUUGCUUGAGGGAAUGAUAUAUUUCCAUAUAAUGGAGCCACAGUAGUU
rnacentral:lncRNA from 1 species